rnacentral:rRNA from 1 species
AGAGUUUGAUCCUGGCUCAGGAUGAACGCUGGCGGCGUGCCUAACACAUGCAAGUCGAACGAAGCUCUUACGACAGAACUCUUCGGAGGGAAGAUGUAAGAGACUGAGUGGCGGACGGGUGAGUAACGCGUGGGUAACCUGCCCUAUACAGGGGGACAACAGUUGGAAACGACUGCUAAUACCGCAUAAGCGCACAGUACCGCAUGGUACAGAGCGAAAAACUCCGGUGGUAUAGGAUGGACCCGCGUCUGAUUAGCUAGUUGGAGGUGUAACGGACCACCAAGGCGACGAUCAGUAGCCGGCUUGAGAGAGUGAACGGCCANAUUGGGACUGAGACACGGCCCAAACUCCGUACGGGAGCA